rnacentral:lncRNA from 1 species
GUGUGCCUUGUUCCUCUGCUCUCUGUUUCUCUCCGUUGCAAGCAGGCUGAAAGAUUGGUCUGAUUUAUUUUCAUCUCUGCUGCCAGGGGCCCUAGGGCAAUGCCAGCGAUCUACAACGUGGCGACAUGGUGAGCGUGUGACAACUGCCCUUAACCGGAAGGAGCAGGGGGCUAAGCAGCUGGAGUCGGGGUGAUGGGAUGCAGGGGAUCAGUCCUGGCCGUUCUUUGCUCAGGCAGCCGAGGGGGAAGAGUGUCUGAGGCGACAAGACUUGGUUUUCAGGGAUGUUUAGGGUUGCUGUUUAGUAUUAAGACGUUUGCCUAUCUUAAGUCUCAGUCGCGUUGCAGCAGAAGCUGACCUGCCUGAGUUCCUCUGAGGCAACGCUGGACACUGCAAUCUCUGGUAUUAUGAGCCUCCUCUUAAAAAGACAGGGGAUUAACUGAGUAGCUUUUGUUCUAUCUCCACUGAAAUUGAGAUACUCUUAACUUCCAGCUGCUAGUUGAAGUCACAGGAAGAAAAGUUGGACACUUUCAAACAUCUCUUUAAACUUUUUUUCCAAGUUCUUCUAAAAAGUUUCCUAUGAAAGUUCUCUAAGGAAAGGGAGUGGGUGAUUAAGUAAAGGAGUCAUUGCUAGAGCCUUUCCCUCUUGUCCAGAUGCCUCUUGCUUGCUAAGCUUGGGGGAAGUUUGGAGCAAUAAACUUCUCUUAAACCAAGAGAAGAGAGCCACCCUCACAGAAGGAAAGACUUUUACACAAGCAAAUAUGGAUAAAGACACAUAAAUUAAUAAUACAAAUUCAUAUACUUUUGAGAAGUUAGUUUGAUCCAAUGUAUGUUGAAUUUCCAACUGGAGGGGACUCCUUUGCAGAUAUGUCCAAUCCACUUGCACAGUUACUUCAGCUCAGAGUGUUGAGAAGCUGUGUGUUAGGUUACAUCUCUCAGCAGCUGACAUUGCACAUAUGGGUGAGAUCUAACAGUAUCUUCUUUUUUGGGUUUUUUGUUUGUUUGUUUUUGUUUUUUGUUUUGUUUUGUUUUGUUUUGUUUUUUGGAUUUUUUGAGACAGGGUUUCUCUGUAUAGCUCUUGCUGGCCUGGAACUCACUCUGUAAACCAGGCUGUCCUCGAACUUGAAACCCGCCUGCCUCAUCCUCCCAUGUGCUGGGAUUAAAGGCUUGUGCCACCACUGCCUGGCCAAACUUUAUCUUCUUAUGCCAUUAUCUCUGCCAGGGAAUGGCCUGCAAUUUUUCAAGAUAACUCUCCUUUACCAAUAACUAGACCAACGCCCAAUGGCUUAUCAGCUCUCUCUUCUACAGAAGAUUCUGAUGCUAGGAAUAUUUGCUCAAAGGCGCAUACAUCCUGCUAUCUAUUAUACUUUUAAUAUGUAUUAUACAUUGUAGUGUGGUUGGUGAGUCAAAAUCAACUGGGUGUCUGUAUCAGACCCUGUCUCAAACACAGGAAAUAAUCAAAAUUGUAUUUGUGAUAGGCUUGCAGACUCCAGGUUUUCUUUCUUUUACAAAUUAAUAUUAAGGUUAAAAUUAGAUUGUAAGUUAAAAGUCACCUUCUUUGUGUGUGUGUGUGUGUGUGUGUGUGACUUGUUCUUUAUUUGUAGUUUUGUGAUUUCCACAUCAGAAAUGGAUUCCAGCGUUCCUGGUAUGUUCUGUUAACUGUGUGAUAGUGAACUAAGUUACUAACUGAAAAAGAUUCCACUUUUGUAAGCACAUGCUAUGUACCUAGGCCUUGAGCUUGACUAUAAAAGCACUCCCUUGCUUUUUAAUAAAUCGAUUUCUCUUUAUUUAUUCAAUUUACAUCCUGCUCACUGCCUUCCUCCCAGUCACCCCCCUCCCUCAAUUCUUCCCCCAGCUCCCCCUCCCCUUCUCCUCUGAGUCGAUGGGCCACCUUGUAUUACCUAGAUUUGGUAAUAUAAUGUGUUUGGUAGGACUCAUGUAGUAUCUUAGUUUUGCAGUUCAAAUUUUUGUUCAGAUUCUUGAUUGCCUGGUAUGUGGACCCCAUAAAUGGGCCAGUCAGACCCUUGUCGAUGGCCUAAAAUUGAUUGCCUCACUGUUCAUUCUUUUCUUUUCUUUUUUUUUUUUUAAGAUUUAUUUAUUAUUAUACAUAAGUACACUGUAGCUGACUUUAGACACACAAGAAGAGGGCAUCAGAUCUCAUUACUGGUGGUUGUGAGCCACCAUGAGGUUGCUGGAAUUUGAACUCAGGACCUUCGGAAGAACAGUUAGUGCUCUUACCUGAUGAGCCAUCUCGCCAACCCUCACUGUUCAUUCUUAAUAUUACAUACUGUCAAAGCAGUGAACUUAUCUACUUCCUUUUGUCCUGACCCUUUCUGGGCUGUGACUACACUACUUUCCUGAACUAGAAUCCUGAGCAUUGAAGGUCUAUACUGUGUGCCUUCAGCACACUCCAACCCUAAGGAGCAUGCUUAUGUCACUCAACAAUCACUGGCCAAUCAGGGCGUCCAGGCAGGCCAAUCAGGAGAAUAGGAGGGUUCUUCUGAGUACUCUCUGCCAUAAUGGAGGUUCAGCUCUAUGCUAACCUGAAAGAGCAGG